rnacentral:rRNA from 1 species
UGAGCUUGAUCCUGGCUCAGAUUGAACGCUGGCGGCAGGCCUAACACAUGCAAGUCGAGCGGAAACGAUGGAAGCUUGCUUCCAGGCGUCGAGCGGCGGACGGGUGAGUAAUGCAUAGGAAUCUGCCCGAUAGUGGGGGAUAACGUGGGGAAACCCACGCUAAUACCGCAUACGUCCUACGGGAGAAAGCAGGGGAUCUUCGGACCUUGCGCUAUCGGAUGAGCCUAUGUCGGAUUAGCUAGUUGGUGAGGUAAUGGCUCACCAAGGCGACGAUCCGUAGCUGGUCUGAGAGGAUGAUCAGCCACACUGGGACUGAGACACGGCCCAGACUCCUACGGGAGGCAGCAGUGGGGAAUAUUGGACAAUGGGGGAAACCCUGAUCCAGCCAUGCCGCGUGUGUGAAGAAGGCCUUCGGGUUGUAAAGCACUUUCAGCGAGGAAGAAGGCCUGAGGGUUAAUACCCUUCAGGAAGGACAUCACUCGCAGAAGAAGCACCGUGCUAAUCUACACGUGCGCACGACAGCCUCC